rnacentral:piRNA from 1 species
UAGAUGUGCAGCCUUCUGUGACAUUAGGA